GGUAAGGCCCUUCGGGGUACACGAGCGGCGAACGGGUGAGUAACACGUGAGCAACCUGCCCCUGACUCUGGGAUAAGCGGUGGAAACGCCGUCUAAUACCGGAUACGACCCGCCACCUCAUGGUGGAGGGUGGAAAGUUUUUCGGUCAGGGAUGGGCUCGCGGCCUAUCAGCUUGUUGGUGGGGUAACGGCCUACCAAGGCGAUUACGGGUAGCCGGCCUGAGAGGGCGACCGGCCACACUGGGACUGAGACACGGCCCAGACUCCUGCGGGAGGCAGCAGUGGGGAAUAUUGCGCAAUGGGCGAAAGCCUGACGCAGCGACGCCGCGUGGGGGAUGACGGCCUUCGGGUUGUAAACCUCUUUUACCACCAACGCAGGCUCCCAGUUCUCUGGGGGUUGACGGUAGGUGGGGAAUAAGGACCGGCUAACUACGUGCCAGCAGCCGCGGUAAUACGUAGGGUCCGAGCGUUGUCCGGAAUUAUUGGGCGUAAAGAGCUCGUAGGCGGCGUGUCGCGUCUGCUGUGAAAGACCGGGGCUUAACUCCGGUUCUGCAGUGGAUACGGGCAUGCUAGAGGUAGGUAGGGGAGACUGGAAUUCCUGGUGUAGCGGUGAAAUGCGCAGAUAUCAGGAGGAACACCGGUGGCGAAGGCGGGUCUCUGGGCCUUACCUGACGCUGAGGAGCGAAAGCAUGGGGAGCGAACAGGAUUAGAUACCCUGGUAGUCCAUGCCGUAAACGUUGGGCGCUAGGUGUGGGGACUUUCCACGGUUUCCGCGCCGUAGCUAACGCAUUAAGCGCCCCGCCUGGGGAGUACGGCCGCAAGGCUAAAACUCAAAGGAAUUGACGGGGGCCCGCACAAGCGGCGGAGCAUGUUGCUUAAUUCGACGCAACGCGAAGAACCUUACCAAGGUUUGACAUCACCCG
rnacentral:rRNA from 1 species